AUUGAACGCUGGCGGCAGGCCUAACACAUGCAAGUCGAACGAAGUGGCGAACGGGUGAGUAAUACGUGGGUAACCUGCCCUCCUUUUUGGGCUAAUCCUUGGAAACGGUGUCUAAUACCGACUCAAGGGGGAUGGGCUCGCGGCCUAUCAGCUUGUUGGGGGGGUGAUGGCCUACCAAGGCGGUGACGGGUAGCCGGUCUGAGAGGAUGAACGGGCACAUGGGGACGGAGAUACGGCCCAGAGUCCGACGGGAUGGAGCAGUGGGGGAGAUGGCACAAUGGGUGAAAGACUGAUGCAGCGAGGCCGAGGGGGGGAUGAAGGCUUUCGGGUUGUAAACCUCUUUCGCUAGCGAACGGGUAGGUGGAGAAGAAGCGCCGGCUAACUACGUGCCAGCAGCCGCGGUAAUAC
rnacentral:rRNA from 1 species